rnacentral:lncRNA from 1 species
UCCGCGUAGAAGAGGUCAAUUAAUCAUUUGUCACCCCGGAUUAAUGGCUCCAAUUGAGAUGGUAGGAUCCACCAUAAAGACUUUAAUUCUUGGCCAUACAAGUACCUACUUUUUAGAGAAUCAAAAUUGACUUGGUAACCACUCAACAGCAAAAAAUUAUGGCUCAUACCUUCCAUACAAGAAUCUCAUAAAGUUUUAGGCUUAAUCAAUUAGUGUUGUUAUCUUGUUCUAUUUUAUUUUAAAAAAAAUCUUCUCACCCUAAAUUACUAAUUAGCCCUCUUUGCAUAUAACACCCACCAGUGUAUUUGCCUUCACUUAAACCACAUAAAUCGAUCUUUAUUAUUUUAUUACGUGUUUCAUUCAUGUUCUACAUCUUUUUCCACAUUUUUUUCCUAUGAGUUGAGUUAUAUUGUCAUUUGUUGUUGUUUGUCUAAUAUAUUUUUGACACCUCAACGCAUUAUAUUCUUAGCAAACGAGAAGACGUCAAUCUGUAAUGUUCAAAGAUGUCAAAAAAUGCAUUGGCAACUUUCUAUUAACUAAGAAUAGAUGAUGUGUCCAUAUGUUAAAAAUGUGUUGGGUGACUAAUUAAUUCGAACAAUAGAUAUAAACUCUUUCAUAAUUUAUAUAAUUUAAACGUACAAGAAUGUGUCUUAUUUCCUAAAAUUAUCAAUUCAAUUACUAUUCAAAUAAUUUAUAUAAUGAACAAAAUUUUAAUAUAUUUAUUUAUUUAUUUAU